rnacentral:rRNA from 1 species
UACGUAGGGUGCGAGCGUUAAUCGGAAUUACUGGGCGUAAAGCGUGCGUAGGCGGUUCUCCAAGUCCGUUGUGAAAGCCCCGGGCUCAACCUGGGAAUGGCAGUGGAAACUAGGGGACUGGAAUCUGGCAGAGGGGGGUGGAAUGCCGCGUGUAGCAGUGAAAUGCGUAGAGAUGCGGCGGAACACCAAUGGCGAAGGCAGCCCCCUGGGCUGAGAUUGACGCUCAGGCACGAAAGCGUGGGGAGCAAACAGG